GGCGCUAUAGCCAAGUGGUUACGGCGACAGAUUAGAAUGUUGUAUCCUCUGUGAUUCAUCUGUUCCUCUUUGAGGGCGCAGGUUCAAAUCCUGCUGGCGUCG